AGUUUAGUUAGCAUAAAGUAAAAUUGAAAAAUCUUAAAAAGAUUCUAUUGCAUAAGAUUGUAUACCUAUACUUACCAGAAAAAGGUUUCAUAAUACCAAAACCUUUUUACAGAACCUUUAAUUACUCAAUCACAAUUUGUCAAAAUCAUGUCAGUUUAAGUAACAACAAUCAAUAAAAGUGCAAUAUUUACCAACAAAAUGUAUUUAAAAGCAAUAUCGACGUUGCUAAAUGGCUCUUUACACAAUACUCUUCGGUCUGAGUAUAUUUAUGAUCGCUCUAGUCAUCGCCAUCAUAAGAAAGAUGUUCUUUCAUUGGCAAGAGGAGCAUAAGAUUGAAAGAAUGACAAAAGCUACAGUAGAAAGACCGGCCGUCAGUGCGUUGAUAUUUACAGAAAAAUGUGUGUUUAAAAAGCGGACUUUUACAGGAAGAUUGUUCAUUUACGAUAUUAUGAGCAAAAGCGACAUAAGUCUUAUUAAGAAUCUAGAGUACUCAUAGCUUUGUUUUUUAAGUGAUUUUUUUAUGAAAUAAAAUUGUAUAUAAUUCAGAGAAUAUGUUUUAAUAUAAUAUAUUACUAAAUUUUA